rnacentral:rRNA from 1 species
GAUGAACGCUGGCGGCGUGCCUAAUACAUGCAAGUCGAGCGAACGGACGAGAAGUUUUCUUCCCUGAUGUUAUCGGCGGACGGGUGAGUCACACGUGGAUAACCUACCUAUAAGACUGGGAUAACUUCGCGAAACCGUAUCUACUACCGGAUGAUAUUUUGAACCGCAUUGUUCAAAAGUGAAAGACGGUCUUGCUUUCACUUAUAGAUUGAUCCGCCCUGCAUUAGAUAGUAGGUAAGGUAACGGCUUACCCAGGCAACGAGGCAUACACGACCUGAGAGGGUGAUCGGCCAGCCUGGAACUGAGACACGGUCCAGACUCCGGCGGGGGGCCGCAGUAGGGAAUCUUACGCGAUGGGCGAAAGCCUGACGGAGCAACGCCGCGUGAGUGAUGAAGGACUUCGGAUCGUAAAACGCUGUUAUUAGGGAAGAACAUAUGUGUAAGUAACUGUGCAGAUCAUGACGGUACCUAAUCAGAAAGCCACGGCUAACUACGUG